ACGGCAAAAGAACUUUGAAGAGAGAGUUAAAAAGUACGUGAAACCGUUGUGAGGUAAACUGAGAGGCCCGGCGAGUCGCUUCGGCGCUUUCAGUUUGGCGUGUCGUGGUUUUCGUUGUCGGUGGAUGCUUUACGGCACUGCUGUCGGUGUUGACUGCGUUCGCCGAACGCACUAGUGCUGUUGCGAGUGACGCGACCGUUUGGAGGGCGACCAGAAGCUCCUGGCGAAGACAGUCUGAUAACCCUCGGGUUGUUGGGCAUUGCAGAGCUGGGAUGGGACGGCUUGUUCUUCGAACGUCGUAACCUGCCGCGCCCGCCUUUCGGGGCGAUUGCUGUUGUUAGCGGCGGUUAGCUUCGACCUGCUCACUAUUCUUAGAGGGUUGGACGUUGCUGGCUGUCGUCUGGCGGCGGUUCUCGAGGGCGCUAAGGGUCUGCGUUAAUGCCGGCC
rnacentral:rRNA from 1 species